rnacentral:snRNA from 13 species
UGAAACUCCGUCUCAAAAAAAAAAAAAAGUAGAACGACACAGAGAAGUUUAGCAUGGCCACUGGGCAAGGAUGACAUGCAAAUUCGUGAAGCGUUCCAUAUUUUU